GUCAAGUCAUCAUGCCCCUUAUGUCCAGGGCUUCACACAUGCUACAAUGGCCGGUACAGAGGGCUGCGAUACCGUGAGGUGGAGCGAAUCCCUUAAAGCCGGUCUCAGUUCGGAUUGGAGUCUGCAACUCGACUCCAUGAAGUCGGAGUCGCUAGUAAUCGCGGAUCAGCAAAGCCGCGGUGAAUGCGUUCUCGGGGAUU
rnacentral:rRNA from 1 species